AGAUCAUGUUGUGCAAAAUUAUGAACUAAUCCUUUGUAAAGUUCCCAAGCUUCAUAUAAGGAUUCUCCAUUUAAUUAUUGGAAAUUCUGGAUUUCUUUUUUGAGCUU